CGCACAUAAGACAUGCAAGUUGAACGGACUUAAUCGAAAUAUUUAUAUUUUGAAGCGGUUAGUGGCGGACUGGUGAGUAACGCGUAAGGAACCUGCCUAUUAGAGGGGAAUAACAGUGAGAAAUCAUUGCUAAUACCGCAUAUGCCAUAGAUAUCACAUGAUAACAGUGGGAAAGGAGCAAUCCGCUAAUAGAUGGCCUUGCGUCUGAUUAGAUAGUUGGUGGGGUAACGGCCUACCAAGUCGACGAUCAGUAGCCGGACUGAGAGGUUGAACGGCCACAUUGGGACUGAGAUACGGCCCAGACUCCUACGGGAGGCAGCAGUCGGGAAUAUUGCGCAAUGGAGGAAACUCUGACGCAGUGACGCCGCGUAUAGGAAGAAGGUUUUCGGAUUGUAAACUAUUGUCGUUAGGGAAGAGAAAGGACAGUACCUAAGGAGGAAGCUCCGGCUAACUACGUGCCAGCAGCCGCGGUAAUACGUAGGGAGCGAGCGUUAUCCGGAAUUAUUGGGUGUAAAGGGUGCGUAGACGGGAGAACAAGUUAGUUGUGAAAUACCUCGGCUCAACUGAGGAACUGCAACUAAAACUGUACUUCUUGAGUGCAGGAGAGGUAAGUGGAAUUCCUAGUGUAGCGGUGAAAUGCGUAGAUAUUAGGAGGAACACCAGUGGCGAAGGCGACUUACUGGACUGUAACUGACGUUGAGGCACGAAAGUGUGGGGAGCAAACAGGAUUAGAUACCCUGGUAGUCCACACCGUAAACGAUGGAUACUAGGUGUAGGAGGUAUUAAGCCUUCUGUGCCGUCGCAAACGCAGUAAGUAUCCCACCUGGGGAGUACGGCCGCAAGGUUGAAACUCAAAGGAAUUGACGGGGGCCCGCACAAGCAGUGGAGUAUGUGGUUUAAUUCGAAGCAACGCGAAGAACCUUACCAGGGCUUGACAUAUAAAGUAAUAUUUAAGAGAUUAAAUAGCUCUUCGGAGACUUUAUACAGGUGGUGCAUGGUUGUCGUCAGCUCGUGUCGUGAGAUGUUGGGUUAAGUCCCGCAACGAGCGCAACCCCUGUACUUAGUUGCCAGCAUGUAGAGAUGGGAACUCUAAGUAGACUGCCGCGAAUAACGCGGAGGAAGGUGGGGAUGACGUCAAAUCAUCAUGCCCCUUAUGAUUUGGGCUACACACGUGCUACAAUGGCGUAAACAAAGGGAAGCGAGAGGGUGACCUGGAGCAAAUCCCAAAAAUAACGUCCCAGUUCGGACUGUAGUCUGCAACCCGACUACACGAAGCUGGAAUCGCUAGUAAUCGCAGAUCAGAAUGCUGCGGUGAAUACGUUCCCGGGUCUUGUACACACCGCCCGUCACACCAUGGGAGUCAGCAACGCCCGAAGUCAGUGACCUAACCGAAAGGGAGGAGCUGCCGAAGGCGGGGCAGGUAACUGGGGUGAAGUCAUA
rnacentral:rRNA from 1 species